rnacentral:rRNA from 1 species
AGUGAACGCUGGCGGUAGGCCUAACACAUGCAAGUCGAACGGCAGCACAGUAAGAGCUUGCUCUUACGGGUGGCGAGUGGCGGACGGGUGAGGAAUAAAUCGGAAUCUACUUUUUCGUGGGGGAUAACGUAGGGAAACUUACGCUAAUACCGCAUACGACCUACGGGUGAAAGCAGGGGAUCUUCGGACCUUGCGCGAUUGAAUGAGCCGAUGUCGGAUUAGCUAGUUGGCGGGGUAAAGGCCCACCAAGGCGACGAUCCGUAGCUGGUCUGAGAGGAUGAUCAGCCACACUGGAACUGAGACACGGUCCAGACUCCUACAGGAGGCAGCAGUGGGGAAUAUUGGACAAUGGGCGCAAGCCUGAUCCAGCCAUACCGCGUGGGUGAAGAAGGCCUUCGGGUUGUAAAGCCCUUUUGUUGGGAAAGAAAAGCAGCAGGUUAAUACCCCGCUGUUCUGACGGUACCCAAAGAAUAAGCACCGGCUAACUUCGUG